CACCUUCACCAUCGGCGAUGAGAACUGCACGGAUCCAAACGUUACCCUGUACUGUAACGGGCCGCUACAAGUCGCCACUACGUACAGGGCCAAGAUGAGAGUGUUCACCCCGAACGGCUACUAUGCAGACAGUUACUACUCGGAUCCAGUCAGCACACUUGCGAGUACCUGGUCGGAGUGGGGCCCCUGGUCCGCCUGCACGAAAAGCUGUGGUACCGGGAGCCAGACACGGCAGCG